UUAGCUUUACUAUUUGUUUAAAAUAUAACAAAAUUUUUUUGUCAGACACAACAGUCAUCCCAUGACACUGUCUCCGAAAAAAUUGUCAACCCACAGACCGUUUCAGCUCAUGCUUCGACGCCUUAGCAAUCGCGUUUGGCAUUUGGCAUUAAUGGCUGCAGGGUAAGGCGUUGUUGGCUCAUUGGGGGUUUAAGGGGGGAGGGAAAUUGGCAGUAGCAGGAGAUGAAGGCCAAAACAAAAGAUGAAAGGAAACAAAGAAACCGCACCACAGUCGCAUCACACCCAUCCCUACAUACCGCCCCACCGCUCGACUUUUUAUUCGAAAAUAUUCAUUAGUCCGAAGUGGCAUCGAUCGGAACGGGAAAUAGCGAUAUAUACUAUGCUCUCGCAUGGCGAUGCGUACAGAUUUCAGAUUUUCUCCUGGCCAUAAAUUUCCCGGAUAGCCAACUAUUCAGCACUCAAUCCCCCACCGACCCCUCAUUUUCCAUGGACGCGAGCUAUUUUGGUAAAAAUUUUAAUUAAAAUCCCAGACAGUUACACUCGCCGCGAUAGAGAGUUGUACUCGUGGCAUCCAGCACAAGUGCGUCUGCCGUGUGCUCAAGCAUCGCCGAGCGAUUGCCACAAACAGCAAUCGCACAGGACUUUCCGAGCCAAGGAGCCAGGAUGGCUAAGAUAGCAAACCGGCAUCUGCAAGCCGGAAGGCAGUGCACUGUAGUGGAGUAAACGCACGUAGCACGUGCAGUUCUAAUAACCUGAGAUGUUAUAUUCGGGGGUACUUUAUAUGUUUGAUAUGCAGCUAAUUUGAAACAUCACAAUUUUUAGUCACAUUAAAUAUAAAUUCAGUUAUACAACACUUGAGCAGUGUUA